CGCCUCAUGCCUGAAAGGGCAACGUCGUAAGACGGAGCGAGAAGUCAGCAGAGGCCGUAGUAGUCAGGACUCCGACGAAGGGC
rnacentral:ncRNA from 1 species